rnacentral:rRNA from 1 species
AGCAGCCGCGGUAAUUCCAGCUCCAAUAGCGUAUAUUAAAGUUGUUGCAGUUAAAAAGCUCGUAGUUGAAUUUCGGGACCAAUCUGCCGGUCGUGCCUCCGGUACGCACUGGUUUUAUUGGUCUCUCCCUUCUGACGAACCAUGAUGUCAUUAAUUUGGUGUCAUGGGGAAUCAGGACUGUUACUUUGAAAAAAUUAGAGUGUUUAUAGCAGGCUCACGCUUGAAUACAUUAGCAUGGAAUAAUGAAAUAGGACGUUUGACCCUAUUUUGUUGGUUUCUAGGAUCGACGUAAUGAUUAAUAGGGAUAGUUGGGGGCAUUAGUAUUCAAUUGUCAGAGGUGAAAUUCUUGGAUUUAUUGAAGACUAACUACUGCGAAAGCAUUUGCCAAGGAUGUUUUCAUUAAUCAAGAACGAAAGUUAGGGGAUCGAAGACGAUCAGAUACCGUCGUAGUCUUAACCAUAAACUAUGCCGACUAGGGAUCGGAUGAUGUUAAUUUUUU